UCCCAUUGAAACACCAGUUCCUGUAAGAUCACCAAAGUUAAGCAAUGUCAUACCUGGUCAGGACCUAGAUGGGUGACUGCUUGGAAAUACCAGGUGCUGUAAG